GAUGAACGCUGGCGGCGUGCUUAACACAUGCAAGUCGAACGGAAAGGCUCCUGCUUGCAGGGGUACUCGAGUGGCGAACGGGUGAGUAACACGUGGGUGAUCUGCCCUGCACUUCGGGAUAAGCCUGGGAAACUGGGUCUAAUACCGGAUAGGACCACAUUUUGGAUGGUGUGGUGGAAAGUUUUUCGGUGUGGGAUGAGCUCGCGGCCUAUCAGCUUGUUGGUGGGGUAAUGGCCUACCAAGGCGUCGACGGGUAGCCGGCCUGGGAGGGUGUACGGCCAAAUGGGGAAGGGAAAAAGGCCAAGACUCAUAAGGGAGGAAAGAGGGGGGAAUAUUGAAAAAGGGGGGAAAACCUGAUGCAGCGAGGACGGGGGGGGGAAGAGGGCCUUGGGGUUGAAAACCCCUUUCGCUGGGGACGAAGGGAAAGGGAGGGUACCGGGAGAAGAAGCAACGGAUAACUAAGU
rnacentral:rRNA from 1 species